CGCUAGCUUGUUUCAAGUUAGAGAUAUAUUCGAUUAGCAUGAAAACAUAUCCCAGGGAGCGAUCGAGUGUGUUAUGGGUCAGUGUCUGUCUCCCUGUCCCAGCCUGUUUUCCUGUUCCCCUUUCCCUUGUGUGUGUGUGUGUGUGUGUGUGUGUGUUGUCUGUCUGUCUACAUGUCACUCAAGAGGAUCUAGGUCAAGGGGCGUGGCCACUCUCACCUGCUCUGCUCCAGCCAGCUGCAGAUCAUUCCAGUAAUUAACCAACAGUUAUCUACCCGGGCUGUUCACCUCUUCAGCGCCAGUUCGUUGCAACCAUUCCUGUGGUAACGUGGCUCCACUCUGUGCUCGAGAGAAUUCAGUCCUUUUACUAGCAUACCUGUUGCCUCCUUUGUGCUUGUCUCACGCUUCCCAUCUCUGUUCAGAUUCCGCCUCUGGACCUGCUGCUUUUCGGUUCUCAUCUGCCUCCUCGCUGCCUGCUCACCUCGCAACUCCGUUCUCAACCAGCCUUUCCACCCAGCUCUCGUCUUCGCUGCCUGGCCACACACCCGCCGUCUGAUCUCCAGCUUCGACUCCACCUGGAGCUGCUCUCCUGGCCAUUCCCUCCUGCACUAUCCACAUUGUGUCCAAUAAAACACUGCUAACCGCU